rnacentral:rRNA from 1 species
CAAUAGCGUAUAUUAAAGUUGUUGCAGUUAAAAAGCUCGUAGUUGGAUUUGUGGCUGUCACGGGCGGCCUAUCACUUAGUGUUAGUGCUUGCCUGUGUCGCCAUCCUUGGGUGGAGCCCGUGUGGCGUUAGGUUGUCGUGCGGGGGAUGCCCAUCGUUUACUGUGAGAAAAUUAGAGUGUUCAAAGCAGGCUUAUGCCGUUGAAUAUGUUAGCAUGGAAUAAUAAGAUAGGACCUCGGUACUAUUUUGUUGGUUUGCGCACCGAGGUAAUGAUUAAUAGGGACAGUUGGGGGUAUUCGUAUUUCAUUGUCAGAGGUGAAAUUCUUGGAUUUCUGAAAGACGAACUACUGCGAAAGCAUUUACCAAGGAUGUCUUCAUUAA